CCGCACAAGCGAGGAACAUGUGGUUUAAUUCGAUGAUACGCGAGGACCUUACCCGGGCUCGAACGUAAGAUGAGCCUUCAGAGAUGAGGGGCCCGGCAACGGGAGUCUUACGAGGUGCUGCAUGGUUGUCGUCAGCUCGUGCCGUGAGGUGUCGGGUCAAGUCCCAUAACGAGCGCAACCCCCGUCCAUAGUUGCCAUCGGGCAAAGCCGGGCACUCUAUGGAGACUGCCGCCGUAAGGUGCGAGGAAGGCGGGGAUGACGUCAAAUCAGCACGGCCCUUACGUCCGGGGCGACACACGUGUUACAAUGGCGGGUACAGAGGGCUGCCACCCAGUGAUGGGGAGCCGAUCCCGAAAGCCCGCCCCAGUUCGGACUGGAGUCUGGAACCCGACUCCACGAAGCCGGAUUCGCUAGUAAUCGCGCAUCAGCCAUGGCGCGGUGAAUACGUUCCCGGGCCUUGUACACACCGCCCGUCAAGCCAUGGAAGCCGGAAGUACCUGAAGUCCGUAACCGCGAGGAGCGGCCUAGGGUAAGGCUGGUGACUGGGGCU
rnacentral:rRNA from 1 species